rnacentral:tRNA from 1 species
GCGCCCGUAGCUCAGCUGGAUAGAGCGUUGGCCUCCGGAGCCAAAGGUCACAGGUUCGACUCCUGUCGGGCGCA